CCGGCCCUGGGCCCCAGGCUGUGGAAUGUAAGAGAAGCAUCCAACAGCCCGCCCUCCCAAUUUCCUGCCGGCUGGGGCAGUGCCGCUUGGGUGAGAGGGGCGGCGGAGGCACCGGCUGCCUCCGCACCCUCGCCCGGCGGUGCCCCCGCCGCUCACUCAGGCUUUGCUCCCCUCGGGGCUCGCGGGGCCUCUGCCUUUCGUCCGGCCCUCUGUUUUCUGUUUCGCCCUGGCAAGUUCCAUCUGGCACUUAGAUCUUAUAAAUAGCCGCAGCUAGGGUGUGACUCGGGUGGAGACGUGGAGCUGGUACUCCACCCUGAAGGGGAAAAAAGCUCAUUUAAUUCAUUUCUGCACUUGGAAGCCUCUUCCUUUUCGAACGCCAAUUAGGCGGCAGCUGCUGGGGACUUUUUUCCUCUCCUUAUCCCAAGAUGGCCGUCUGAUUUUCGGCGCCUGUUGACUUAAGCUCUUACAGGAGGUUGGGUGGGGCGGGCGUGGUAGAACCGCGGCCGCUCUGAAGUGGGCUGGCCGAGUUUUGCUGACUUUCCGCGAGAGCCUGUGGGUGGGAGCGGGUGAGGUUCCCCAGAGGACCCAGCCCUCGUCUGUUUCUUCCAGGACGCUGGGGUUUGGGAUUUCAGAGUCUGGUUUUUCUUUGUUUCCGGAGAGUCCAUUCCAGCAUCUAUUAAACAAGAAUAAGAAGGAAAGAUUCGAAGCAAUAUCCCAAUACUCUUUAGAUUCUAUCAACUGUGAGACACUAUGGAUUUUCAAAGACGGCUGACUGCCUUUCAUGCCUCUGAACUCCGCCCUUCCUUGGCAUGAUGGAGAAGGAAAAUGAACUCAAGACCCACCUAGUACAGCAUCUUAAAUCUAAUUAGGUACCCAAACAAGCGACUUAUUUGAACUCAACGCAUCCCAAGUUGCAAAAGUGGGCCAAGUCUCUUGGCUCCUAGGACUACAGCUUUGCCUCCUUCAGGAGCUAGACAGCUGAUGCUCAGCAGAGCUGCAGGUAUGCGCCAGACCCCGGGAAGAAGCACACCCUCCUGUGUAAUGCGAAGGCCACGGUCCAGACUUCAUUCUCCCCGGGUCUCAGGUGCCGGUCCAUUUGCAGAAGACCAGGGAGCAGGGAGCAGCGCUGUAUUUGAGAUCUUGAAGGACACCUCGUGGUGCCACUGGAGUCGGAGACGCAAAAGGAAAAGAUGAGGGAUGGUCAUCGCUGUGCUCUUCACAUGUUGUGAGAAUUCUGGGUCAUUUUCUCAAGUUUGGAAUUGUGGAUGUGGCCAUGGCCGUGGCUGUUUCCAGACAGAAAACAGUGGAAUCCUGGAAAGAGUCAAACAAUCAACUGUGAUUUUGUACUUCGAUCCAGAUGAAUUAAGCAAGCAGAUCCUUUGGGUUUUACACAUCUAUGAAAUAUCAGGCCCUCAUGUUCUCCUUUUGGGGUGUUCUUCCUCAAAAAGAAUGCACUUUCACUAUUUAAAUCAUAUCAGUAAAUAGUCAUAUUGUGUCUUAUGGUUUUUUGGUCCUUCUGUCUUAAAAAGAAUGAUUUCAAGAAUGAAGUUUCACAUGCCGAUUUGAAUAGUUUAAUUUUUGUUGGAAUAAUUAGUUCCCUUCCUUCUCAUCUUUUUCUGAACCCACUGGAAAAAAAAAAAAAGACAAAGGAGAGAGGCAGAGAGACACCAAAAUAACAUCUUUCCUAUUGAUAAAGCUGACAUUGGAGAAAGUGGAAUAUAUCUGUGGCCAAAUGGACUUCCUAAUCGUGAGUGCACGUGCUGGCUGCACCAGCCGAUCUGGUCAGAGGCAGAAGCAGACCACUGCUGGCCUCCACACACGGGAAGCGUGGAGAGCUUUACUGUUGUGCUUGCCAUGGGUUUGACAGCCAUCUAGAGCAUGUUUUCUCUGCUAGUUCCUACAAGGAAGAAGAGACAGGAAGGGGCUGGGCUGUGCAUGCUUGGUUUCUUCCCACAGAUUCCUCAAUUAGGUCCUGGUUACUGUGCCCAAUAAGUGAAAGCUUUCCUGGGUCAUCCGCUGAAAUGCUGGGAAGUCCAAAGAGGUGAGGAGCAUAGCUUUGCCAGUGAGACUGUCCCGGAGUUCAACCCCCCACCACUGAGAAGCACCUUGCACUCCCAGAAGCCUUCCCAGGCUCGGUUUUCUCAUCUGUAAAACAAAAAAACACCCACCCCUACAGGACUUCAGUGAGGAUUAAAAUAUGAUAUAAAGGGCUUGGCCUCUAGUAACACUUUCUAAAUAAUUCAUAUUUUAUAAAAAUGCUCUCGGCUUUAAUUUGGCUUCAGGCUUUUGAUCAGACAAUAAUAUUUAUUAUACACUUAGUAGGUAUGAAAGGGGACAGAAAGAGGUCUGAAGUCUAGGGUGACAGGUAAGACACACACAGAAUAGAAAACUGUGGGAUCAGGGACAAGUGGCUUAUUUCUACCCGACAUCUGGAAGAGGUAGAGAAUCUGAAUAGGGUGUACAUUUGAGGACAAACAGCGGAGUGACUUCCCUUUUCCUAGCUACGAAUUUGGGAUAUUCUUCUCUUUUCCUGUUUGGGCUUUUGUGUUCCUCAGAGAGGAGACCUCUAAUUCUGAGAAGUGGGCAAGAGGAGGUCAAACUGCUGCUCACAAAACAAUGACUCAAAACCCUGAGUCUUUUCCGGAUUUACCUACUUUUAAAAACCAAAAAUCCUUUGCCCCCCCCCUCAGGCCUGCUGGAGGAACAGGGGCUCCUGUGGCUUUCUGGCAAAGGCAGUCAGGGUGUGAGGAAACCAGAAGGAACCAAAACACAAUGAGAAACCCCGUUCAGCCGACCACGGAAAAGUCCUCUUUGUUGUUUGAAAUUUUUAUCUUGUUUGUGGCAAAUCUAAUGAUUCAGUAACGACCACAGCUGUGUUGGGGCCCACGAAUUUCCUCAGAGGCUUCCCCCCACCCCCACCCCCCACUUGAGAGCAGGAACAAGGCCAGCUGGGUAGGCCACCCUCCUCCAGCUCUCUUCCCAGUCUCUGCAAUGUGUUUGGGACAAGCAGCGCUUGGGGCCGCCCGUCCGGAGAUUUUAUCCGACCUCUCCUGAAUCUAAUUCCGUGGGGGAGGAAGCGAAGUAAAACUGGCUGUUUUAGGUUCAUGGACGAUGCGUUUCUGGGCAUGAGGUUCAGCUCUCUGUAUCCUGCUGUUGAAGUAAGUUUGAGAGAGUCAAAUCGUUUCUCACUGUGGUCCUCACUGUGGUAAUGACAGAGAGUCACAGAGAAGAUUCCGGUUUCCCAGACCCCGCCGAGGGUGGGGGGCAGCUGGCACCUGGCAGCAACCGCCUGCUUGCCUCUGAUUUCCCUGGGUCAGCGCCUCCCUACUGUGUGCGCUGGGCCAAGGAGCAGCAACAAGAAGGAAAGACAAGGCAAGGUGGCCGCCGAGGGGCUCGGGGUCCUGCAUGAUCUCAGCGUGCAGCUGCAGCUGGCGUGGGUGCGGCUCCCGUGGGGAGGCCCUGGGGGCUCGGUCUCACUGGCAUGCUAAUGUCCCUCCCUGCCUCACAUGCC